CGUAUGGUGUACGGCAAAUCGGUGACCGUAUAGCGAUACGACUUUAGAGAGGU
rfam:Leminorella grimontii ATCC 33999 = DSM 5078 strain ATCC 33999 GLGR.assembly.25, whole genome shotgun sequence.